CGAAUGGGGAAACCCAGCAUGAGUUAUGUCAUGUUAUCGAUAUGUGAAUACAUAGCAUAUCAGAAGGCACACCCGGAGAACUGAAACAUCUUAGUACCCGGAGGAAGAGAAAGAAAAUUCGAUUCCCUUAGUAGCGGCGAGCGAAAUGGGAAGAGCCCAAACCAACAAGCUUGCUUGUUGGGGUUGUAGGACACUCUAUACGGAGUUACAAAGGACGACAUUAGACGAAUCAUCUGGAAAGAUGAAUCAAAGAAGGUAAUAAUCCUGUAGUCGAAAAUGUUGUCUCUCUUGAG
rnacentral:rRNA from 1 species